rnacentral:rRNA from 1 species
UCGAGAAUCUUCCACAAUGGACGAAAGUCUGAUGGAGCGACGCCGCGUGAGUGAUGAAGGCCCUACGGGUUGUAAAACUCUGUCAGGAGAGAAGAAUCGCCGGGGUGCCAAUACCACCCUGGUCUGACGUUAUCUCCAGAGGAAGCUCCGGCUAACUCCGUGCCAGCAGCCGCGGUAAUACGGGGGGAGCAAGCGUUGUCCGGAAUUAU